rnacentral:rRNA from 1 species
GAUGAGCGCUGGCGGCGUGCUUAACACAUGCAAGUCGAACGGAGUGCUCUUGAUUGAGGAUUCGUCCAAAUGAUAGAGUUACUUAGUGGCGGACGGGUGAGUAACGCGUGAGUAACCUGCCUUGGAGUGGGGAAUAACACAGUGAAAAUUGUGCUAAUACCGCAUGAUAUAUCGGUACCGCAUGGUAGUGAUAUCAAAGAUUUAUCGCUCUGAGAUGGACUCGCGUCUGAUUAGUUGGUUGGCGGGUAACGGCCCGACCAAGGCGACGAUCAGUAGCGGACUGAGAGGUUGACCGGCCACAUUGGGACUGAGACACGGCCCAGACUCCUACGGGAGGCAGCAGUGGGGAAUAUUGGGCAAUGGGCGCAGGCCUGACCCAGCAACGCCGCGUGAAGG